GGUGAAAGGCCAAUCAAACUUGGCGAUAGCCGGUUUUUCACGAAACGUAUUUAAGUACUACGUUACCAAAAUAAGUUGUAGGUAUAGUAACAAAUUAAACAAUGGGGUGUAAAAAUUUACUGAGUUCAGUUUAACUUCAAAUUACAACUUAAUUACGGUAAUAGACAGUCUUUGGGCGAUAAGGUUCAAAGACAAAAGGGCAACAACCCAGACCGCACAUUAAGAUCUCUAAAUUAUAACUUAGUGGAGAAGGUUUUUGUUAGUUCAAAUAAAUAAGAGUAGGCUUAGAAGCAGCCUUCUAUUGGAGAAAGCGUUUUAGCUCACUAUUUUUUAGCAAAAACCUAAAAUAAUCGAGGCUACAAGUUAUAUAUCGAAAUGGCGGAUUAAUAUUUUAAUGGUAGUGAAACGUUCUGUAAUUUAUUUUUAGUAAUGUAAAAUCUAAAGUAUAUGACCAGAAGUGCUAAUGCUGACAUGAGUAACGAAAACUACGUUGUAAUCGUAGUCACCUAUUGUUCAAGGUUUUCAACGUAAUUUUAGAUGCGUUGAGUUAGUCGGUCCUUAAGAAAAAAGUAAAAACUUUAAAUUAAUAGGAAUUUACCAGUUACGUACAUUUUAUAAAUGUGUACAGAUAACAAAAAAAUAGUUAAAUUAAAAGGUUAAAAUUCUAAACUUUUUGUAUUCUCAGGAAAAAUCGUAACACUAUUGACCGUACCUAAACCGACACAGGAGAACUUGUUGAAAAUACAAAGGUGAAUGGGGCAAUUAAAUUAAAGGAACUCGGCAAAUUUGCUCUGUACGUUCGCAAUAAAGAGUACCGUUGAAACACGGUGUCACAAAAUAGAAAGCAACGACUGGUUAUCAAAACCACAGGACUCUGCUAAUUAGUAAAUAAGAUGUAUAGAGUUUGACACCUGCCCAGUGCCUGAAGGUGAUAAAUUUAGGUUAAAGCUUAAAUUAUAAUCCCAGGUAAACGGCGGUUCUAACUAUAAGAAUCCUUAGGUAGCGAAAUUCCUUGACGGGUAAGUUCCGUCCCGCAUGAAUGGUGUCACGAUUGCUUUACUGUCUCCAAUUUAAACCCAGUGAAAUUACAUAGCCUAUGAAAAUGUAGGCAACCCGCAGUAAGACGGAAAGACCCUAGAUCCUUUACUUUAGUUUUAUAUUGUAAAAAUAACUAUUUCAUGCAGAGCAAGUGGAAGUAAUAAAAUACAACAAUGAAACACCACUUUUAAUAUAUAAUUUUUACUUGAUUUAUUAUUAUAAUAAAGAUAGUAUAAAAUAGCAAGUUUACUUGGGACGAGUACCUCCUAAAAUGUAACGGAGGUGUACAAAGAUAAGUUUCAACUAUUCAAAAAAAUAGUCAAGCGUAUAAUGGCAAUAAACUUGUUUGACAGUUAGAUUGAUAAAUCGCGCUGAGACGCAAGUCGGUCAUAGUGAUCCGGUAGUAUUGUGUGGAAAAUUUACCGCUCAACAAAUAAAAGGAACUCUAGGGAUAACAGAUUCAUCAUGGCCGAGAGUCCUUAUUGACGCCAUGGUUUGAUACCUCGAUGUCGACUCAUCUUAUCCUGGAAUUGAAGCAGAUUCCAAGGGUCUAGUUGUUCGCUAGUGAAGAAGGUACGUGAGUUGGGUUCAGAACGUCGUGAGACAG
rnacentral:rRNA from 1 species